rnacentral:rRNA from 1 species
UCCGUAGGUGACCUGCGGAA